AUUGAACGCUGGCGGCAUGCCUUACACAUGCAAGUCGAACGGCAGCAUGAUCUAGCUUGCUAGAUUGAUGGCGAGUGGCGAACGGGUGAGUAAUACAUCGGAACGUGCCCUGUAGUGGGGGAUAACUAGUCGAAAGAUUAGCUAAUACCGCAUACGACCUGAGGGUGAAAGUGGGGACCGCAAGGCCUCAUGCUAUAGGAGCGGCCGAUGUCUGAUUAGCUAGUUGGUGAGGUAAAGGCUCACCAAGGCGACGAUCAGUAGCUGGUCUGAGAGGACGAUCAGCCACACUGGGACUGAGACACGGCCCAGACUCCUACGGGAGGCAGCAGUGGGGAAUUUUGGACAAUGGGCGAAAGCCUGAUCCAGCAAUGCCGCGUGUGUGAAGAAGGCCUUCGGGUUGUAAAGCACUUUUGUCCGGAAAGAAAUGGCUCUGGUUAAUACCUGGGGUCGAUGACGGUACCGGAAGAAUAAGGACCGGCUAACUACGUG
rnacentral:rRNA from 1 species